rnacentral:rRNA from 1 species
UACAGAGGUCUCAAGCGUUAAUCGGAAUUAUUGGGCGUAAAGCGCGCGCAGGUGGUUUCUUAAGUCUGAUGUGAAAGCCCACGGCUCAACCGUGGAGGGUCAUUGGAAACUGGGAGACUUGAGUGCAGAAGAGGAAAGUGGAAUUCCAUGUGUAGCGGUGAAAUGCGUUGAUCUACAGAGGAACACCAAAAAGGGCGAAGGCAGUCAACUAUUCUGAUCCUGACAUUGAGGCAUGAAAGCGUGGGGAGCAAACCGG